GAAGUGUGAAAAUUUUGAAUUGAGAUCAACGGUUUAUUCAUUAGAUAUUGAGGUUUAAAUCUGUCAUAGGAAUUACUAGGAUUUGGAUUAGAGUUUGGUUAGGAUUUGAUUUAGGAUUUGGAUUAGGAUUUGGUUAGGGUUUGAUUUAAGGUUUGGUUUAGGAUUUAGGAUUUGGAUUAGUAUUUGGUUAGGAUUUGAUUUAAGGUUUGGUUUAGGAUUUAGGAUUUGGAUUAGAGUUUAGGAUUGGAUUAGGGUUUGGAUUAGGAUUUAGGAUUUGGUUAGGAUUUGAUUUAGGGUUUGGAUUAGAAUUUGGAGUUGGAUUAGGGUUUGGAUUAGGGUUUGGAUUAGGAUUUAGGAUUUGGUUAGGAUUUGAUUUAGGGUUUGGAUUAGAAUUUGGAGUUGGAUUAGGGUUUGGAUUAGGGUUUGGAUUAGGAUUUAGGAUUUGGUUAGGAUUUGAUUUAGGGUUUGGAUUAGAAUUUGGAGUUGGAUUAGGGUUUGGAUUAGGAUUUGGAUUAGGAUUUAGGAUUUGAUUAGGAUUUGAUUUAGGAUUUGGAUUAGGGUUUGGACUAGGGUUUAGGGUUUGGUUAGGGUUUGAUUUAGGGUUUGGAUUAGGGUUUGGUUUGGAUUUGAUUUAAGGUUUGGUUUAGGGUUUGAUUUAGGGUUUGAUUUAGGAUUUAGGGUUUGAAAUAGGGUUUAAUUCAAGAUUUAUUUAGGAUUUGACUUAGGGUUUAAGAAUUAUUAGGGUUUAAGAUUUAAUUAGGUUUGAUCUAAAGUUGAGUGAAAUUCAAUAGGAUUUUAACUAGAAUUAAAUUAAGGUUGAAUUGACAUAUAUUUGAGUAAAAUUUGUGAUCAUUCUAAUAUUUCUUUAAGAAUUUUAUUAUUUGUUUGAAAUUUCUUUGAGUUGUUUUGAAUUUGAUUACGUUUGUUUAGCAUUAUUAUAGUCUAAUUAGAACGUUGUUAGUAUUCUAUUAGAAUUAGGAUUUUGUUAUUGCAAUUUCUAUUCUUCCUUCUACAGCCAGG
rnacentral:lncRNA from 1 species